rnacentral:misc_RNA from 1 species
AUCUACCCCCCUAGCCGCCACAACAUUUCUCCCUCUCCUCCUUCCAGCCAAGGCACGCAUCCUCCCUGCCUUCUUCCUCCCUGGCUUCCACGGCAGCAAGCAGCAAGCAGGGAGCCGAGCUCCAAGCUCCCAUGCCGUCGAGCUCGGGUUCUUCUCCCAUGGCGUCCUUCCCUCCUCCCCUUCUUCCUCCAGCAAGCAGCGCCCUUCCUCCCUCCCUUGCUGUCCAUGGCGAGCAGCAAACAUCCACCAUGGCGCUCGACGCCUCUCCCCUUCAAGCGUGGCUGCAGCAGGGAGCUGUCUUCUCCAGCGCGCAGGAACGGCAGGGCCGCCCAGCUCUCCUUCCCCAUCCCCAUGGCGCGACGCAUCUGCUCCCUGUCCUCCACUCCAUGGGCGCGAGCUCCACUUUCCAUGGAUGGCGCCCAGAAAAUUUUCCAGCUCCUCCCACGGUGCCCUUCUUCCCCACGAGCCAGGAGCAGCCGCUCCCAUUUUCCUUGCAGCGCCCUGUUCUUUUUCGUCCAGCCGGCUCCCCUUUUUCACAUGGCCGAACACAGCUCCCUGUCCAUGGAUGCAGCAGCAGCUCGCCCUGGCCCGACGCCUCUGCUCGGCCAGCAGCCUUCGCGCCCCUAUUCCCCUGCUCGUUCUCCCUUACGCAGCAGCAGCCGUACCUUCCCUGCAGCGCCCCUCUCCAUUUUUCCCCUCUGCUCCCUGUGCGGCGAGCUCAUGUGCUCACAGCACCUCUCCCUGCCUUCUCUCUGUCCCCAGCGACCAGCAGCAAGGACAACCCCCUUCCCUCGCUCCUUUCGGAUGUGCGCGAGGUGUUCGACACAAUGCCUGCGAGGAAGGUAUGUUGUCACAGCACCAUCGACGCUCGUCGGGUAUUUGUUGUUUUUGCGCAGCCCCAAACAUCGUCGUCGUUCACCCUGGUGAGACCGCGACGCUCCUUGUUCGAUUCCGCCGACAAUAUUUUCCUAUGAUUAAUUAUGUAUGUGUGCUGCUUUGUUUUGUUUUGUGGAGGAGAGAAACCCCGUGUUUUGCGUAGAGAAGGCAAGCCGCUCGACGCUCGUUGAUGUUUGUAGCGAUGCAUAAAUCGGAAUCACCGUCGUUCUUGCAAACGCCGAUUGGGUUUGUUUAUGACCUCAUAUAGGACCGAGAGAUGAUGAUCGAGCCAGUGAUGUGGUGCCAACCACAAGAUGCCGUGGUGGACGACCUGAAGAAUGGACUUAACUAGUGGAUGCUCGCCAAGCGAGUACCUCCCCAACAAACACUGUCUAAGUGUUAAAU